ensembl:misc_RNA Metazoa_SRP Metazoan signal recognition particle RNA
GCCGGGUGCAGUGUCAUGUGCCUGUAGUCCAAGUCACUGGGAGGCUGAGGUUGGUGGCUCAAGUGAGCUGGGAAGCUCUGGGCUGCAGCACGCUAUGUCGAACGGGUGUCCACGCUAAGUUCGUUAUCGAUAUGGUGUUCCUGGGGGAGCCCGGGACCACCAGGUUGUCUAAGGAGGGGUGAACCGGCCCAGGUAUAUAUUUUUUUAAAACCUAUUUUUAUCUGCUACACGAAUUGUCACUUCGAAAUGUUUAGCAGACCAUGAAAAGUCGACACUGUUUUGCAGCUUUCCAAAAACAAUUACCGUUAUACCUUCU